AGUAGUUGAGCUGUUGAAGCUCCAGGACAACCAAAUUCCUUAAGCUAGUUGAAUUGUCAUGUGGCUCUACACUCAUUUGGAUUUCCUGGCUUAUCUGUUUUCCUCACCUGCCUGUUUUGAAUGCAGAUCCAUUGGAAAGCUUUUUUUUUUUUUUUAGAACACCCAACAAACCCCAUCCUGAUUCCAGCUGUGUGGCAACUACUGGAAAAGCAAUUAAAAGGAGUGGAAAAUUAAAUAUAUUAAAACCAAAGAGGAACUGAGAAACAGAAAUCCCAGUGGUCCACGGACAUAGGAUUUGCCUCUAGAAAGGAAGGAGUUUCUGCUACUCAGGCUCUGGGGACCUGAGAUGUGAAGUUUCUCCUCCAGAGAAGCUCGGGCAGGGGCGAGGUUGCUUUGCCACCCAUCAGAGCUCACAUUCACCCCAUCUCAGGACACCAGCUUCCAGUAGAAACAUGCUGUUGUGUUGCACACAAUGCACAUGUUUUAUUAAAUACUGCAAAACACAGUGUUAAUAUGUCCAGGCUUUAGGCUGGGUGGUUGCAGGUGUUGCUCCCCCGCUGGGUCAUUGCUCCAGAAGCUUUAAGAGCAUUCCCACCUCUGGGACCGGACUCUGACGUCAGGCUGGAGAGGGGCAAGGCCAUCAAGCUGUGAUACAGCAUUGAACCCUCUCCAGGGCUGCGAAGAGACGAAGAGCUCAGGCAUCUGGGAGCUGGAGGAGACCUGUUCCUAAUGGAAAGCACAUUACCAGCUGGGACAAUGCAGGGGAUAUUCAAGAAAGCCUCAAAAAUACUUCAGCAAACCCAAGCUCUCCUAUGGAAAAAUAUUCUUCUGGUGUGGAGGAGGAAGACAGAAAGUUUUCAGGAAUGGACCACAUCAGUGGUUUUUCUCUUAAUAAUACAAACAUCAGCAAGUAUGAUAUUCCACUACCCACGGCAAGAAAUCCCUUACAAGUUCCUGGGACGGUUGGAUGAUCCAGCCUUCAAUGCUACAGGGGUUAAACUUGCAUACACACCUGUAACAACCACCACCAGGCACAUAAUGAGCAAAGUGGCUUCGGAUUCUGCAAUGACAGGAAUAAUAAUAGAAGAGGUGGACAAUAAGAAAGAUCUGGAAACAAGAGCAGUUUUGGAGGAAGACAUUAUCGGUGUUGUUUUUAAGGAUGACUUCUCCUACCAUCUCAGAUUUCAAAGCUACCGUGUGGUGUCUCCAAGUGAUGCCUUUGAACACAUCGAUACCUGCUUCAAUUUUUCAUCAAUCUGCAACAUUCCCUUGUACUGGUAUGCAGGUUUCCUAUCGGUGCAGUCCAGCAUCGAUGCUGCGGUCAUAGAAAUGAAAACAAACCAUUCUGUGUGGCAAGAGAUGAAGUCAAUCAGUGGUGUUCGUCUGAAAUCGCCCUUGAUCAAACCCGUGUAUAAACUGGAUUAUUUUUGGUUCAUUAUUUAUAUUAUGCUGUGCUUCUCCCCAUACAUGUACUUUUUAUCAGUGAAAGUUAUAAGAGAGAAAAAGAAGCUGAAGGUGUUAAUGAGAGCAAUGGGUUUGCAAGAUAUUGCGUUCUGGUUAUCCUGGAGCUUGCUGUACACCAUUUACAUUUCAAUAACAGCAACUCUCCUGACACUGAUCACGAUUACAGGAGUCAUCCAUGACUACAGCUUUUUUGAAAUAUACUUCUUUUAUUUCUUUUAUGGCACAGCAUCUAUUCACUUCUGUUUCAUGCUCAGCUCAUUGUUAAAGCAGUCAAAUUUUGCCAGUUUUGUGGGCUUUGUCCUUCACGUCCUCUUUGGAUUGCUGGGCUUUUUGACAUUGUUUGAAGAACUACCAUCGUAUUUGGAAUGGAUUUUAAAUCUCUUCAGUCCUUUUGCCUUUACAGCUGGCAUCUCAAAGAUGUUAAAAUUGGACAAAUAUGGACCAGCCUUUACACCAGAAUUGUACCCUUUCUUUAACCUAUACCUCAUACUGAGCCUUGACAGUGUCUUGUAUUUGCUGUUGGCCAUCUACUUUGAUAAAGUUUUGCCUGGCAAGUAUGGAGCACCAUACCCACCUUUGUUCUUCCUGAGACCAUCGUACUGGUGCAAGCCCAGGAGUGGGUACAUGGGGGUACAAGCUGACAGCGAGAGCAGCAACGAUCCUGUCCUCAGCAAUAACAUUGAGCCGAUGCCUCCAGGCUUUGAUGGGAAGGAAGCAAUUAGACUAAACAACGUUAAAAAAACAUACAAGAAGAAGGACAAGAGAACAGAAGCUCUAAGGGGUUUGUCCUUAAGUAUAUAUGAAGGCCAGAUCACUGCGUUACUUGGUCACAGUGGAUCUGGAAAAACUGCUCUCUUAAAUGUGCUCAGUGGAUUUUCCAAGCCUUCAGCAGGUUCUGCAAUGAUAUACAACCACAAAGUUUCUGAAGUAUGGGAUAUGGAAGGAAUUCAGGCAAUGGUUGGGAUUUGCCCCCAGUUAAAUUUGCAUUUUGAAGCCUUAACAGUGAAGGAAAACCUGAGAACUUUUGCUCACAUCAAGGGGAUUCAGCAGAAAGAAUUAGAGCAAGAGGUGCAGAAGGUUCUCGCAAUGCUGGACCUCGCUGAUCUUCAGGACAUUCAUGCUGAUGCUCUGAGUGGAGGACAGAAAAGAAAAUUGUCUCUUGGAAUUGCAAUUUUAGGGAAUCCCCAGGUGCUGCUUCUAGAUGAACCAACGGCUGGGUUGGAUCCCUGCUCCAGGCAUCACGUGUGGAACCUUCUGAAGGAGCGCCAGGCUGGACGUGUGACGCUCUUCACGACCCAGUCCAUGGAGGAAGCUGAUGCUCAUGCUGAUCGGAAAGCUUUCCUCUCAAAUGGGAGAUUACAGUGUGUGGGCUCAUCUCUGUACUUGAAGAGAAAAUGGGGAAUUGGCUAUCACUUGAGGAUGCACAUAGAUGAGUUGUGUGACCCUGAGCUUAUAUCAUCCCUGGUCAGACAGUACAUCCCCAGUGCUGUGCUCAAAGGACAGAAGCAGGGAGAGCUGCGUUAUAUGCUACCUUUGGAAAACACUAAUAGCUUCUCAGAUCUCUUCAGCCAUCUGGAGAGCAGCCUUUCACAGGGUGUUGUUAACUAUGAGGUUAGCAGGACAACCCUGGAAGAGGUUUUCUUGAAGCUGGAGGGUGAGGAAGCCAUUGAUCAAGAAGAGGACGGAGACCUGGAGGAGAGGGACCAAAGCCUCCUGGUGUUUUCCAAACAGAGAAGCACAGCAGUGAGCGAGAUGGAGCUCUGGAGGCAGCAAGUGUGUGCUGUGAUGAGAGUUCGCUUCUUAAAGCUAAAGCAUGAAGGAAAGUUUCUCAGGUCCAUAUUGCUGUUCUUUGGAAUAUUCAUCCUUCCAAUGAUGAUGAUUUUCAUUGGAUUUCAACUGUGGGACAGCUCCAGUAACUGGGAAAUCACAGCCAGCUUGUAUUUCCUUCCCACUGAAGAGAAAAUGCAAAAUAAAUCAUCAAACCUUCUCAUCAUCAAUGACACAGGGUCAGAAAUUGAGGAUUUCCUUGCUGCUUUGAAGACUCAAAACAUAACCCCAGAAAUAACUCUGGAGAAAAACAUCACAAGCAUUCCACUAUAUAACGGAGCUAUAAAAAUAUCCCUGGAAGGCAAGAGCUACCGAUUCACGGUCAUGUGCAGUGCAGAACCCAUCAACUGCUUCCCUGUGCUGGUGAAUAUCCUCAGCAACACCUUUCUAAGGCUCUUCAAUUCCACUGCGCGCAUCCGUGUCUGGAGUGAGCCCUUUUACAGUAUACAAAACCCAGAAGUAAAGAGUGAUAUCUUUUUCAUCUGCCUCAGCUACAUGCUGAUUUUGGCUGCUGGUUUGCCUCCUCAGUUUGCAAUGAGGAGCAUGGAGGAUUACAAGCUCCAGGCUCGUGCCCAGCUGCGGCUCGCAGGGCUCUUCCCCUCAGCAUACUGGUGUGGGCAGGCACUGGUGGAUGUCCCACUCUUCUGGACCCUGAUGUGCCUCAUGUUUGGGGUCCUGGUGCUCUUCAAUCGCAUCUGCCCCUUGCAGGCCAACACUGUCCUGCCCCUGAUCAUUUGCACCAUUGGUUAUGGAGUAUCUCUCGUCCUCCUCGUCUAUUUAAUUGCCUUUAAAUUUCGCACAGGACGAAGCAAUCGUUACAUUUGGUCUUUCAUCUUCAUUCUGGUGAAUUCUACGCUCUAUAUGCUCAGUGACCUACACGAAGCACUUUAUUUCACCUUCUCUAUUUUGAUUCCUGUGUUUCCACCUCUGGGCUGGUUGAUCUUCAGUACACCAAGUUACUCAUGGUUUGACAAUAUCACUCUUCUUGAGACGUGGAAUCACAUUUUCGUAGCUGCCUUUGCACCUUUCAUCCAUUGUGUGAUUUUUGCUUUUCUCCUGCGCUGUUUGGAGAUGAGAUCUGGAGAAGCAGUUACGAGACUUGAUCCCAUUUUCAGGAUCCAGAAGAGGAGAUUGGUUGCCCGCCAGAACAGGGAGCACCCUGUGGAGGAGCCCCCAGAAGUCCAUGCAGAGAGGGAGAGAGUGAGGAAUGUCAUGGCCUCACUGCAGCAGGAGGAGGAGUCAACGAUCGUUGUCAACAGUUUGCGCAAGGAAUAUGAAGACAAGAAAGCCAGUUCCAUCUUUAAGAAAAGGAAGAAAGUUGCUGUCAAAAACCUCUCUUUUACAGUUAAAAAAGGAGAAGUAUUAGGUCUGUUAGGACCCAAUGGAGCUGGAAAAAGCACCACUAUAAACAUGAUUUCUGGAGAUAUAACAGUGACUGCUGGGGAGGUGCUGCUCAAGGUCCAUGAUGGAGCUGUCUCCACCCCAGGGCAGAGCAUCCUGGGAUGCCUGGGCUGCUGCCCACAGCAGGACCCGCUCUGGCCAGACCUCACCGUGCACCAGCACCUGCAGGUCUACACUGCCGUGAGAGGGAUGAGGAAAGACGAUGCAGCAGUUAUCAUCAGCCGCAUAGGAAAGGUUUUGGAUCUCCAGAAGCAUUUAAGAACCCCAGCUAGGAGGUUAUCUGCUGGAGAAGCCAGAAAGCUGUGUUUUGCAUUGAGCAUCCUGGGAGAUCCAAUGGUAAUGCUUUGGGAUGAGCCAUCAGUGGGCAUGGACCUGAAAGGACAGCGCCUUAUGUGGAAAGUGAUUCAGACUGCCAUGAAAAGCAAGGAGCGUGCAGCCAUCCUCAGCACGCAGUACCUGGAGGAGGCGGCAGCGAUGUGUGACCGGGUGGCCAUCCUGGUGUCAGGGCAGCUACGGUACAUCGGUUCCCUUGAGGAUCUGAAAAAGAAGUCUGGCACAAGUUACCACCUAGAAAUCAAAGUGACAGACCCGGGGCAAAGCGAUGCUCUCCACACCGAAGUUCUGCACCUCUUCCCCUACGCAUCUUGGCAAGGACGACUUCUUCACUCAUCUACAAGAUACCAAUGGAAAAUGCACUACCUCUGUCCCAGUCUUUCUCCAAGCUAGAAGCAGCUAAACAGAAUUUCAGGCUUGAGGAUUACAGCUUGUCGUUGCACUCCUUGCAACAGGUGUUUGUAGACCUCACCAGGGACCUGGAGGAGCAUGACCCUGAUGCAGCAUCUGAUGGGGCUGUGGAGCAGAGACCACUUCACCCCUGAUUCCUUGGAGCCACAAAGGAAAAUAGCCAGUGUAUUUCAUCAGUGUUACUGAUGUGUGUGAUCAGCUGCAGCCCUGGGUCUUGAUUACCGAUGUUGCAACACAUAUUGCUCUGCAGGUUUUCUGUCUCACAAACUAAACAGAUCUUAUUUUAAUAAAUAAAGCCUUUAUCCUUUGUCAAA